rnacentral:tRNA from 7 species
GGCGUGUUCGUCUAGUGGUCAGGACGCUGGACUCUCAAUCCGGAAACACGGGUUCGAUCCCCGUACGCGCUA